rnacentral:misc_RNA from 1 species
UACAGAGGGUCCAAGCGUUGAUCGGAAUCACUGGGCUUAAAGGGUGCGUAGGCGGAUAGGCAAGUGCGUUGUGAAAUCCCAUGGCUCAACCAUGGAAUUGCUUCGCAGACUGCCUGUCUUGAACCCGGUAGGGGCCAUCAGAACGCUAGGUGGAGCGGUGAAAUGCGUAGAUAUCUAGCGGAAUGCCAAUGGAGAAGUCAGAUGGCUGGGCCGGCGUUGACGCUCAGGCACGAAAGCGUGGGUAGCGAACGGG